GCUUCCCUGGGGGGCGCGUGAUUUAUGCCUCGGUGCUAACCUGACAAGUAUGUUAAAGGGAGUCGUCUCUGUCCUCAGUGUGCAUGCCCGGCCACGACCGGGACGCCUGAAGGGGACAUACUGGCUCCCGACCUGGUUAUCCAGGUUCUGUACCGCACGCAUGACACGGCUCUCUGGGGAAAGC
rfam:Desulfovibrio desulfuricans subsp. desulfuricans str. ATCC 27774, complete genome.